AUGUUUGGAGAAGACUACAGUAUUCUGCAAACUGUGGUGGCAAAGCUUUCCUCAGCACCCAUCUUUGAGGACUGUGUGCCAGAACAGAGCCCCUCCAAUCUCCUGAAGUCAAACUUGGCUUUCCAGGCUAAUCCCCGCUGCUCUGGCACCUUGCAUAAAGAUAAAGAGUCCUUAUCCACAAAUGCUUCCCUUUAUUUGCUGUUUGUGAGAAUAAAAAACCCCAUAGUUUGGCUGAUUAAGUUGAGGACUUCUUAAAGCCCGGAAAAAUCAAGUUCUCCUUGGGGC
rnacentral:lncRNA from 1 species